rnacentral:rRNA from 1 species
UACGUAGGGUGCAAGCGUUGUCCGGAAUUAUUGGGCGUAAAGGGCUCGUAGGCGGUCCAUCGCGUCGGGAGUGAAAAGCUGGGGCUUAACCCCAGUCCUGCUUCCGAUACGGGUGGACUAGAGGUAGGUAGGGGAGAACGGAAUUCCUGGUGUAGCGGUGAAAUGCGCAGAUAUCAGGAGGAACACCAAUGGCGAAGGCAGCUCGCUGGGACGGUACUGACGCUGAGACGCGAAAGCGUGGGGAGCAAACAGG